rnacentral:rRNA from 1 species
GACGAACGCUGGCGGCGUGCCUAACACAUGCAAGUCGAGCGAAGUGAGUACUACGGUACGAACUUAGCGGCGGACGGGUGAGUAACGCGUGGACAAUCUACCCUGUAGACUGGGAUAACACCUCGAAAGGGGUGCUAAUACCGGAUAAUGUCGAGAAGCGGCAUCGCUUUUCGAAGAAAGGAGAGAAUCCGCUAUAGGAGGAGUCCGCGUCCCAUUAGCUAGUUGGUGAGGGUAACGGUCCACCAAGGCGACGAUGGGUAGCCGGCCUGAGAGGGUGAACGGCCACACUGGAACUGAGACAAGGUCCAGACUCCUACGGGAGGCAGCAGUGGGGAAUAUUGUGAAAUGGGGGAAACCCUGACACAGCAACGCCGCGUGAGCGAAGAAGGCCUUCGGGUUGUAAAGCUCAAUAGUAUGGGAAGAUAAUGACGGUACCAUACGAAAGCCCCGGCUAACUACGUGCCAGCCGCCGCCGUAAGAC